rnacentral:rRNA from 1 species
AACGAACGCUGGCGGCGCGCCUAAUACAUGCAAGUCGAGCGAGAAGGUGUAGCAAUACACUUGUAAAGCGGCGAACGGGUGAGGAAUACAUGGGUAAUCUACCAUCGAGUGGGGAAUAACCAACCGAAAGGUUGGCUAAUACCGCGUACGCCUCCGAGUCUUCGGGUUCGGAGGGAAAGCUGCACUGUGAGUGUAGCGCUCUUUGAUGAGCUCAUGUCCUAUCAGCUUGUUGGUAGGGUAACGGCCUACCAAGGCUUUGACGGGUAGCUGGUCUGAGAGGACGAUCAGCCACACUGGCACUGCGACACGGGCCAGACUCCUACGGGAGGCAGCAGUAAGGAAUAUUGCGCAAUGGGCGAAAGCCUGACGCAGCGACGCCGCGUGGGGGAUGAAGGUCUUCGGAUUGUAAACCCCUUUCGGGAGGGAAGAUGGAGCGAGCAAUCGUUCGGACGGUACCUCCAGAAGCAGCCACGGCCAACUUCGUGCCAGCAGCCG